GACGACGACGUUGAUAGGUCGGGUGUGUAAGUGUAGCGAUACAUUGAGCUAACCGAUACUAAUGAACCGUGAGGCUUAACCUUACAACGCCGAAGC
rnacentral:rRNA from 1 species